rnacentral:tRNA from 1 species
GUCGGUAUAGUCUAAUUAAAGAUUUUAGGUUGUGGCUCUAAAGACAGAGGUUAAACUCCUCUUACCCGCC